GCGGGCGCCCCCCAGGCACCCACACCCCGGAACCCCCGGGGACCGCUCCAGGAGGCGGCAGUAGCGCCUCCAGCUCCACCAUCACACGCCCCAACCGCUCCAGACGGCCCAGCGCGGGCGGCAACGAAAAUGUGGGCACCAGGCCUGAAGUCAGUCUUGCAAAGAGGUCGCAGUGGGCACGCAGCUGGAGAGCUGGAACUCUAAGCUCUACAGGGUGCCGGGGCAUCAAAAGCUGGAAUUCUUGACCUUGACUGCGCCUUGUCAGGAGAAAUCUGUAGAGGCUGCUCUGUGUCAAGCGGUGGUUGGAAGGAGCAGAUCUGUGCCAAAGUGAGGAAAUGCAGCUGCCAAAACCUUGUAGAAAAACCUUAAGUGCUCACAAGCAUCGAGCUCCAGAAGUCUCCAAAUCCCAGAACUUCCCUGCCACCGAAUCCUAGAAAUUAAACCCGACACUGUUGGCUUCAGGAAAACUGGGCACUUCAGAACUCAGUGAUAAGGAUCCCUAUUUUCCAUCUUUGUGAUCCUGGGCAAGUUGCAGCUCCAUUUUCCUUCUCGGUAUAAUAGCAAUACAGUAAUGAUGAAGUGGACCCCAAAGGGAGCGUAUUGUUUGGGGAAAUGUUCGGCUCUGUGGCUGGAAUGUGGAAAAUUCUACAUAAAUGUUGGCUACCAAAAGUA